GAAAGAUUCAUGGAAAUUGGAUUUUUCUAGUUAAGAUAACCACCUUUAGAAAAAUAUAAUAAAAAUUGAAAGUAAGCAUUUGUAUGGAAAUUUCUGACCUGGUUAGCACUCAGCACACAAUUAAUGAAAGUUCUAAAAAUUCAUACAUGAAUAGGAGAUGAUAAAACUAAAAUAGGCAGAAUGGCCGUGUUAGCAUUUUAAGAUUUACUGAAUUCAGCAUAUAAGCGCAUACAAUGGAACCCUUGAAGGUUUUCAACUUAGAGGCAAAGACUAGAAUCCAAGGGACAGCCCAUAACCAUCGCCAAAACCUACUUUGUGGUAUGAAGGAAAAUUUACAGCAACACUUUAGGCCCUAGUUUUAAAUUCUAUGUCCGAGAAGGAAGAAGGAAAGAAUGAAUCCUACCAAGCUGGCGGG
rnacentral:misc_RNA from 1 species